rnacentral:tRNA from 1 species
GGGGCCAUGGCUGAGCAGCAGAGCAUCUGUUUGGCAUGCAGAAGAUCCUGGGUUUGAUCCUCAGUGUCUCCA